GUUCUUGAAAAGUUAUUCAUCAGCUGUCACAAUCCAAUAUGAGUCAGCUGCAGUAUACCACUGUGUUUAUCACACAAAGAAAUAUGUGAAGAAAGAAAAGAAAGUUAAUGUUAGUGUAUUUAAUCAGUAUAUAUUUUGGAAAUCCACCCUGUUAUAAGCAUUGGAGUUGAAGAAGAGAAUUACCUCUAAUGUUAGCUAUUAACAUAGUCACUAUAUCAUGUGAGUCACAGAUACAUAAACUCUGCCACAUAAUGAAAAUUGGUAUAGACCUCGUGUAUAAAGAGUGUUGAUGGGAAUCUCCUGGAGAAAGCCAGCUGCAAGACAUACCUAUUGGAGUAGGUGUAGUCGUACCUAUUGGAGAAGCACAUAAAGUAAAGAAAUAACAUGAGCCAAGAAGACAUGAGAACGACAUGAAAGACCAUGACAAAGGUUCAAGAAAAGUUAAAACCUGCUAAAUAGACAUAUUUCAGGAGAUCAGAAAGAGACCUAUCUUGGAACCUGUCUGAUGAAGCGCUUCAAGAGGAAGUUAGAAUGAAGAUUAAAAUGAGCCAAGAUACAACCGUCCUAUAGUCCAAGUAGCCCUGGAAAGAAAGGAUCAUCUUCAUGAAACCAGACAACAAGAAACUCCAAACCAGCUGCAGAUGGCUUCUGGAGCCAAUCCAGUCAAUUCAAGUAAAGAGAAGGAGGCCUGCGACCCUAAAAUCAACGGUUCUGGAUUCAGAAUUUAGAAUUGACAUCAAGAAAGCUUAA
rnacentral:lncRNA from 1 species